rnacentral:rRNA from 1 species
CCUACGGGUGGCAGCAGUAGGGAAUAUUGCUCAAUGGGGGAAAGCCUGAAGCAGCAACGCCGCGUGGAGGAUGCAGGUUUUCGGAUUGUAAACUCCUUUUGUUAGAGAAGAUAAUGACGGUAUCUAACGAAUAAGCACCGGCUAACUCCGUGCCAGCAGCCGCGGUAAUACGGGGGGUGCAAGCGUUACUCGGAAUCACUGGGCGUAAAGAGCGCGUAGGCGGGAUAGCAAGUCAGAUGUUAAAUCCUAUGGCUUAACCAUAGUACUGCAUUUGAUAAUGGUAUUCUAGAGUGUGGGAGAGGUAGAUGGAAUUCCUGGUGUAGAGGUAAAAUCCGUAGAUAUCAAGAGGAAUACUCAUUGCGAAGGCGACCUGCUAGAACAUAACUGACGCUGAUGCGCGAAAGCGUGGGUAGCAAACAGGAUUAGAUACCCUAGUAGUC